rnacentral:rRNA from 1 species
UACGGAGGGCUCUAGCGUUGCUCGGAAUCAUUGGGCGUAAAGCGCACGUAGGCGGCUUGCUAAGUCAGGGGUGAAAUCCUGGAGCUCAACUCCAGAACUGCCUUUGAUACUGGGAAGCUCGAGUCCGGAAGAGGUGAGUGGAACUCCGAGUGUAGAGGUGAAAUUCGUAGAUAUUCGGAAGAACACCAGUGGCGAAGGCGGCUCACUGGUCCGGUACUGACGCUGAGGUGCGAAGGCGUGGGGAGCAAACAGG